rnacentral:rRNA from 1 species
UACAGAGGUCUCAAGCGUUGUUCGGAUUCAUUGGGCGUAAAGGGUGUGUAGGUGGCGCUGUAAGUCGGGUGUGAAAUUUCGGAGCUUAACUCCGAGACUGCAUUCGAUACUGCGGUGCUUGAGGACUGGAGAGGAGACUGGAAUUCAUGGUGUAGCAGUGAAAUGCGUAGAGAUCAUGAGGAAGACCAGUGGCGAAGGCGGGUCUCUGGACAGUUCCUGACACUGAGACACGAAGGCCAGGGGAGCAAACGGG